UUAAAAGUAGUUUAUUUUAUUAAAAUUUUAAUUUGUGGAAUUAAGGAAGAAAGUAACUAAAAUUUUCUUUUAAA
rnacentral:tRNA from 1 species